CUGUUGGAACAAAUUCUGAAAGUUGAUUAUAAUUUGAAUAGUAAAAAAAUCAAUACUAUACAAAUGCUGAAAUUCACUACUCAAAUGUGAUUCUUUUUAGAAAUAGGUUGGCUAACUUUAGCUAAUUUCCGUCUUCUCAAGUCACGUCUGAUGCACAAUAAGUUACGGGAGUGAGAAACGCAAGGCAUUGUGAGCUAACGUUACGUACCGAGUAACGUUAGUACAGGGGGAGAGACAGGCUGCGGCUGGAAAUCGGAAGAAGGAUGAGAAAUGGUUGACUUU